rnacentral:tRNA from 1 species
UCCCUGAGAGGCCAGUGGUUAGGACUUGGGGCUUUCACUCCCAGGGCCCGGGUUCAAUCUCUAGUCAGGGAA